rnacentral:lncRNA from 1 species
AAUAAUAAUAAUAAUAAUAAUAAUAAUAAUAAUAUCUUUGGAUUACACAUAAUUUUCACGUUGAUUUCAAGCGAAACAGACUUCUAAUGACGAAGAUGGCAACAAAAUAAUGAAACUAAUCAAUGGAAGUGUUGGUGUUUUAAGAGAAUAGAUGGAAGGGUUAUAAAAUUAAAAUUUAUACUUGAAUUGCUAAAUCAAUCAUAGGAAUAUUUUUUUAAAAACUCGGUAUAUGUUCCAAGGACCGAGUAACCCGAAGAGAUCAGUCCCACUGUCCAUUUGCAGGAGCCCCGUUUAAAGCUAGAGCAAAGCUCCGUAUGGACUUACCCCGAUAUCAUCAAGAUUGAGUUCUGCAUCUUGUUUCAACUACCUUGUUGUGUUAAUUCUCUACCUACCUUUUAUUCUCUAUUAACACUAUUGCUUUCUUUAAUAUUCGGGAUUAACUGAAUUUAUUUUCUCAAAAUACAAAAACUUUAUCAAUAAUAACUUCUAAAAAAUUAUUAAAAAAGUAUUCAAAUAGACUAACCUGCAUAUACAAAUAUUACUAAUACACCUCACAAAUGUAUUAGGGGGACACCUAAAGAAGUCUGGACAAUCUU